UAGUACGGCGAGUGACCGGGAAGAGCUCAAAUUUGAAAUCUGGCGUGCUCAGUGCGUCCGAGUUGUAAUCUAUAGAGUCGUUUUCCGUGCCGGACUGUGUCCAAGUCCCUUGGAACAGGGUAUCAAAGAGGGUGAUAAUCCCGUACUUGACACAAUGACCGGUGCUCUGUGAUACGUCUUCUACGAGUCGAGUUGUUUGGGAAUGCAGCUCAAAAUGGGUGGUGAGUUCCAUCUAAAGCUAAAUAUUGGCGAGAGACCGAUAGCGAACAAGUACCGUGAGGGAAAGAUGAAAAGCACUUUGGAAAGAGAGUUAAACAGUACGUGAAAUUGUUAAAAGGGAAACGAUUGAAGUCAGUCGUGACUGAGAGGCUCAGCCGGUUCUGCCGGUGUAUUCCCCUCAGUCGGGUCAACAUCAGUUUUGUUCGGUGGAUAAGGGCAGUUGGAAGGUGGCACCCUCGGGUGUGUUAUAGCCAGCUGUCGCAUACAUCGGAUGAGACUGAGGAAUGCAGCUCGCCUUUAUGGCCGGGGUUCGCCCACGUUCGAGCUUAGGAUGUUGACAUAAUGGCUUUAAACGACCCGUC
rnacentral:rRNA from 1 species